GGGCCCGCACAAGCGGUGGAGUAUGUGGUUUAAUUCGAUGCAACGCGAAGAACCUUACCAGGGUUUGACAUCCUGCGAAUCUCUUGGAAACAGGAGAGUGCCUUCGGGAGCGCAGUGACAGGUGGUGCAUGGCUGUCGUCAGCUCGUGUCGUGAGAUGUUGGGUUAAGUCCCGCAACGAGCGCAACCCUUAUCCUAUGUUGCCAGCAUUUAGUUGGGGACUCGUAGGAGACUGCCGGGGUCAACUCGGAGGAAGUGGGGAUGACGUCAAAUCAUCACGGCCCUUACGUCCCUGGGGCUACACACGUGCUACAAUGGCCGGUACAGAGAGCAGCCACUACGCGAGUAGGAGCGAAUCUUCAAAACGGUCUC
rnacentral:rRNA from 1 species